rnacentral:lncRNA from 10 species
UUUUCCAAUUAUAAAAAUGAUAUUUGUCCAUCAUGGAAAUUUGGAAAAUACAGAGAGAAAAGACUGUGGCAAUGGCUUGUAUUUUCCUCCCCCAGGUGAACAAAUAUUACAUUUAAGGGUUUUCCCCAGUGUCUCCCCUUCACUUGAGGGUCCUUUGUGGAAAUGUGUGUCUUGCGUUGGCUACUUUGUGUGUUAAUGAGAGACCCUUACUGGACGCAUUAAAAUUUGAGCUGGGCACAGUGGCUCGUGCCUAUAAUCCCAGUGCUUUGACAGGCCGAGGUAGGAGGAUUGCUUGAGGCCUGGAGUUUGAGACCAGUAAACAACAACAACAACACUUGAGGGUAGGAGAUAGUUUUUUUUUCCUUUUUUUUUUUUUU